GCCGGUGUGGUGGAAUUGGCAGACGCGAUGGACUCAAAAUCCAUUGAGGGCAACUUCGUGGGAGUUCGACUCUCCCCACCGGCA
rnacentral:tRNA from 1 species